GACGAACGCUGGCGGCGUGCCUAAUACAUGCAAGUCGAACGCAGUGGGGACGGGUGAGUAACACGUGGGUAACCUCCCAUCAGAGGGGAUAACACUUGGAAACAGGUGCUAAACCGAUACUGAUGGAUGGACCCGCGGUGCAUUAGCUAGUUGGUGAGGUAACGGCUCACCAAGGCCACGAUGCAUAGCCGACCUGAGAGGGGGAGCGGCCAAACGGGGACUGAGACACGGCACAGACUCCUACGGGAGGCAGCAGUAGGGAAUCUUCGGAAAUGGACGAAAGUCUGACAGAGCAAAGCCGCGUGAGUGAAGAAGGUUUUCGGAUCGUAAAGCUCUGUUGUUAAGGAAGCGGUACUUAACCAGAAAGGGACGGCUAACUACGUGCCAGCCGCCGCGGUAAUAC
rnacentral:rRNA from 1 species